rnacentral:rRNA from 1 species
GACCUGAGAGGGUGAUCGGCCACACGGGAACUGAGACACGGUCCAGACUCCUACGGGAGGCAGCAGUAGGGAAUCUUCCGCAAUGGGCGAAAGCCUGACGGAGCAACGCCGCGUGAGUGAUGAAGGUCUUCGGAUCGUAAAACUCUGUUAUCAGGGAAGAACAAAUGUGUAAGUAACUGUGCACAUCUUGACGGUACCUGAUCAGAAAGCCACGGCUAACUACGUGCCAGCAGCCGCGGUAAUACGUAGGUGGCAAGCGUUAUCCGGAAUUAUUGGGCGUAAAGCGCGCGUAGGCGGUUUUUUAAGUCUGAUGUGAAAGCCCACGGCUCAACCGUGGAGGGUCAUUGGAAACUG